rnacentral:rRNA from 1 species
AGCUAGUUGGUAGGGUAAAGGCCAACCAAGGCAGAGAUCGGUAGCCGGCCUGAGAGGGCACACGGCCACACUGGCACUGAAACACGGGCCAGACUCCUACGGGAGGCAGCAGUGGGGAAUCUUGCACAAUGGGGGAAACCCUGAUGCAGCGACGCCGCGUGAGCGAUGAAGCCCUUCGGGGUGUAAAGCUCUUUCGGCAGUGAAGAUUAUGACGGUACCUGCAGAAGCAGCUGCGGCUAACUACGUGCCAGCAGCCGCGGUAAUACGUAGGCAGCGAGCGUUGUUCGGAGUUACUGGGCGUAAAGGGUGUGUAGGCGGUUGUUUAAGUUUGGUGUGAAAUCUCCCGGCUCAACUGGGAGGGUGCGACGAAUACUGAAUAACUUGGAGUGCGGGAGAGGAAAGUGGAAUUCCUGGUGUAGCGGUGAAAUGCGUAGAUAUCAGGAGGAACACCGGUGGUGUAGACGGCUUUCUGGACCGUAACUGACGCUGAGACACGAAAGCGUGGGUAGCAAACAGGAUUAGAUACCCUGGUAGUCCACGCCCUAAACGAUGCAUAUUUGGUGUGGGCAGUUCAUUCUGUCCGUGCCGGAGCUAACGCGUUAAAUAUGCCGCCUGGGGAGUACAGUCGCAAGGCUGAAACUCAAAGGAAUUGACGGGGGCCCGCACAAGCGGUGGAGCAUGUGGUUCAAUUCGACCCACGCGAAGAACCUUACCUGGGCUCGAACGGCUGGUCAACGCCGAUGGAAACAUCGGUACCCCGCAAGGGGGUCCAGUCGAGGUGCUGCAUGGCUGUCGUCAGCUCGUGUCGUGAGAUGUUGGGUUAAGUCCCGCAACGAGCGCAACCCUUGUCCUGUGUUGCCAUACCGAAAGGUGGAACUCGCAGGAGACCGCCAGGGAUAACCUGGAGGAAGGUGGGGAUGACGUCAAGUCCUCAUGGCCUUUAUGUCCAGGGCUACACACGUGCUACAAUGGACGGUACAAAGCGCAGCGAACUCGCGAGAGGGAGCCAAUCGCAAAAAAACCGUUCUCAGUUCGGAUUGCAGGCUGCAACUCGCCUGCAUGAAGCUGGAAUCGCUAGUAAUGGCAGAUCAGCACGCUGCCGUGAAUACGUUCCCGGGCCUUGUACACACCGCCCGUCACAUCACGAAAGUGGAUUGUACUAGAAGUCUGCACGCUGACCCGCAAGGGAGGCAGCGGCCCAAGGUAUGAUUCAUGAUUGGGGUGAAGUCGUAACAAGGUAGCCGUAGGAGAACCUGCGGCUG